AAGCGACCUCGCGAGAACAAGCGGACCUCAUAAAGUGCGUCGUAGUCCGGAUUGGAGUCUGCAACUCGACUCCAGAAGUCGGAAUCGCUAGUAAUCGGGAUCAGAGAUGCCACGGUGAAUACGUUCCCGGGCCUUG
rnacentral:rRNA from 1 species